rnacentral:lncRNA from 1 species
UCUCUAGUCUUUCACAUAGCAAGAAGCCCUAGGGGGGUGCCUCCCUCUAGCCCUAUCCACCCUAGGGUUUGGAAGAGGGAGGCACCCUAUCAUGUGGGCGCCCCAUCCAAGGGGGAGCCUCUUUUGUGUGGCCGCCUAAGAAUCUAUGUCCAAGGGAGUCUUCAUGCCCAAGAAGCUACCUGAUGUGAUCAAGAAUCUAAGGAUGGUGUGGAAGGAGGCUUCGGAGGUGGGCAUGAGUG